CCUCCCCCGCCCUGCCCCUGCCUGAGCCGUUCCAUUAUCACCGUGGGCUGGGGAGGGGGGAGGGAGAAUCGCUCUGGACUGAACCAUUGUCAUCGAAUCUCUGGGCGCCUGCGUUGCCUGUGUUACUGCGCCGAGGAAAGUUCCAUUAUCUGCGAGGGAGGGGGGAGGCUCAUUCUGGGUCAUUUCACCGCGGGUUGCAUGUGCCUGAGCUCGGGAAUGUUCCGUUAUCAUCGCGGGUGGGGGGGGGAAGGAGCGCUGGGAGGAACCUUCGCAGGAUUCUCCAGUGUUGGCAAGAUGAGGACGAUCGGAAUGGAUUAGUUCCUUCUCUCGAUAGCGACCCUUCGUUCUUUCGAGCAUCACCUUUUCGUUUUUGUUAUUAUUUUUUUUCUGGAGUACGAGUUUCGGGAGUGGUGAGGGAAGAAGUGAGCGAGAUUUUAGACCUAUUGACUAUCCCAUUCUACCGAUGGGGGCGUCAGUGGGCAGUCCUGUUAUUAUUAGGACCUUUCCAUUGCCCGAGGGGGGAGACCUUGGAAGGUCCCAUCGCAGGAGAGGGGAGAUGUUGGACGCCUCAAUAUCUCAUCCUUCUUCCUGAGCUUGUCCCACUCCCCCACUCCCCACCGGCCCCAGAUCCUGGCCUACGGCGACAUGAACCACGAAUGGGUGGGAAACGACUGGCUGCCCAGCCUGGGGCUGCCCCAGUACCGCAGCUACUUCAUGGAGUCCUUAGUAGAUGCGCGCAUGCUGGACCAUCUCAACAAGAAAGAACUUCGGGGCCAGCUCAAGAUGGUAGACAGCUUCCACAGAGUGAGCCUCCACUACGGCAUCAUGUGUUUGAAGAGGCUCAACUAUGACCGUAAAGACUUGGAACGAAGGCGGGAGGAGAGCCAGAGUCACGUGAGAGACGUGAUGGUGUGGUCCAAUGAGCGGGUGAUGGGCUGGGUGUCAGGCCUGGGGCUGAAGGAGUUCGCCGGAAACUUGUCCGAGAGCGGCGUGCACGGGGCGCUGCUGGCCCUGGACGAGACCUUCGACUGCUCGGACUUGGCGCUGCUGCUGCAGAUCCCGACGCAGAACGCGCAGGCCCGGCAGCUGCUGGAGAAGGAGUUUGGCAACCUCAUCUCCAUGGGCACUGACCGGAGGCUGGACGAGGACAGCGCCAAGUCUUUCAGCCGAUCCCCGUCGUGGCGGAAGAUGUUCCGGGAGAAGGACUUGCGCGGGGUCAGCCCGGACUCGGCCGAGAUGCUGCCGCCCAACUUCCGCUCGGCGGCAGCCGGAGCCCUGGGCUCGCCGGGCCUCCCCCUGCGCAAGCUGCAGCCCGACGGCCCUCCUUCUGGGAGUCCGCGGGCAGAUGGCGGAGUCUCCGUUCGGACUUACUCCUGUUAGUGCUCAGCCAGGUGAGGGUGCCUUCGGGAGUCCCGGAGCCGCGGCUUUCCGAGCUUCCUGACCCGUCCUCCCCCCUCCUUCGGUACAGGUGGGCGCGCCAAGGAGAAGCCUCAGUAGGGGGAUAAAGGUCUGUCCCUUCAGGAGAAUGGACUCGCCCUCGGAAAGGACCGGGUUUGGAGAGACUAGAGGGGCUCUCUGGACUGAACCAUUUUGUACAGACCGGGAGGGAGAGGCGUCUCAGCCUCUGGCCAAUCCAAGUGAACUGGAUUUCGGGAAGGGAGGGGGCAGUUUGGAAUCUUCCUCCUCCCUUUUGCUACUUUGUAAUUUAUUUGUUUCCAGCGAGGGGGGAGGGGACGCAACCCCGCCUCCUCGGGGGCCGCAUGCUGGGGGCGGGGAGUGGCCCGACCCCGCUCCUUCCUUUCUACUCCCUCCCUCUCCCCUCAGACCCUGGGGCCCCAGUCCUCCCGGGCGCCCCACCGCGGGGGACUCGCUGCUACAGGCCCCGCCCCCUCUUCUCUUCCCCCUUCUCCUUCCUUGGGGGAAGGGGAAGGGGAAGGGGAAGGUGGAAGCCUCGUUUUCUCUGAUUCUCGAUUAUCCAGGCAGGCAUCUUUGGGGUGGGGUUGGGGGGCCCCUUUCCCCGUCCGUGUGUCUCGCGUUCCCUGGAUCUCGUCCUUCCCUCUCCCUAACCCUUUAUUCCGGGAAUUGGGAUGAAGGCAGAGAAGGAACCCAGGUGUCUCCUCCCUGCCCCGUUCCCGGUCUUCCCUGCGGGCUCCGUUUUUAUUUGUUUUCUUUUUUUUUCCGUUCUGUUCUGGGUUUUUUUUGUUUGUUUGUUUUGUUUUGUUUCGUUUCGUUCGUUUAUUAUUAUUAUUAUUUUUUUUGCAUGGGAGAAUCCGCCGGGGCAAGGGCUGGGCAAGGGGUGAACCCCCUCCCAACUGCCCCACCUCAGAUGUCAGUGAUCUUGGUGAAAGAAAACUGUUUCAAAGACCCCGCCUCCGCUCAUUUAUUUCCGGGAUCUGAGUUUGCUCCUUCCCCUCAAGGGUCCAGGCACCCCUUCCC
ensembl:lncRNA